AUGUUGACAAAUGACAGUUUGUGAUUGUUACAUAGGCCUAUUGUUCAGUGGUGUGUUUACAAACAAGUGACAAACUAAGUUGUUCAGAACUAAGUUUUUACAGCAUAAUUCUAUUAUUAUAAGUGAUUUACCUUGAUAUACUAUAUAUCAUGCCUAGGAUAAAAAAAUUUAACCGUAAGAGGUACCAGGGUAAUCAGUUUACAAAACCUAGCCUAGGCCAGACUCCAGAAACUCAGCCUAAGGUAACUUCCUCUAGUUCUAGAAAACUGUCUGGCUCAAAACUACCCAAGGAUUAUGAGUAUUAAGAUGAUGACAUAAAUGUAAUCAUUAACCUUCAACUGUUAUCUCAGGCUAUAAACAGUUUUACUAAGUGUAUUAGGCCUAGUUGUAGUGCAUCAUUUAACUGUCUUAGCGUUCAGAUUGAUUCUGGUUACACUAAUAGCAUAGCCCAUAAGUUAGUGUUGGACUGUAAUAUAAGUUUAGUAGUGCAUUCAUGAACACAAAGACAAUCCACAAUAAGCAUGAACUAAAUAUUAGGUAUGCUUAUGCCCUAAGAUCAAUCGGCAAAGAGCUUGAGGCUGGUAAAAUGUUUUCUGCGGUCAUGAAUCUAGCUCCACCAAACUCCAGGAUGCAGGCACUAUACAAGACCAUAUUGCCUAGGGUUACAGAAGUAUGUGAUACUUCUCUCAGAAAUGCUGCUACAGAGGCUGUAGAAGAGAAUAAUGGAAGUUCUGACAUAGCUGCGGCUUUUGAUGGCACUUGGCAAAAGCGCGGCUACAAAUCCUUGAAUGGAAUUAUUACGGUUACGUCGUUUGAUACCGGUAAGGUAUUAGACUUUGAAUGUAUGUCUAAAUUUUGUAUAAACUGUGCCAGAGAUUUAUACAAAAAUGAUGAAAAAGAGCUGGAAGAGCACAAGAAAGUUUGCAAGGCAAAUUACUCCGGGUCGAGUGGAGGCAUGGAGGUGGUCGGGGCCAACAUCGUUUGCAGUCGGUCAGAAGAGAAGCUUCGAGUGCGGUAUACUAAAUAUUUAGGGGAUGGGGACUCUAAAGGCUUUCAGUCUGUUUUAGAAGCUAAGCCUUAUGGUGAAGAUGUGGAUAUUGUCAAACUGGAGUGUGUAGGCCAUAUCCAAAAGCGCCUUGGCACAAUACUUCGAAAGUUAAAGUCUACAAUGAAAGGAAAACAACUCAGUGAUGGCAAAGUUUUGGGCGGCAAGGGUAGGCUAACCGAUGUUGAAAUCGACAACUUCCAAACCUUCUAUGGGCUGGCAAUCCGAAGAAAUACAACUGAUGUUCAAAAAAUGCAAGACGCUGUGUGGGCAACCUUCUACCAUAGGCUAUCUACUGACACGAACCCACAACACGACCGUUGUCCUUCCGAUGAAGACACAUGGUGUAAGUUUCAAAAAGCCAAGUUCACUAACACCCCAUUUACUCAUAAACACUCCUUGCCUGAAGCUGUAAUGUUUCUUAUAAAACCAAUUUAUGAAGAUCUGUCAAAACCUGAACUCCUCAAGCGCUGCCUACACGGAAAGACACAAAACCCCAACGAAAGUGUGAACAGCUGCAUAUGGAAAAGAUUGCCAAAGACUGAAUUUGUCAGCCUACCAACCCUAGAACCAAAGUAAAUAGAAGCCUGAAAUUGUUUAUGCAUAUCAACUAAUACAUUGUACCUAAUUGUUUGCUUGUAUCUAAGCAAAUUAUUUACAAAAAAAAUUUAACUAAAAAUUUAUUUUUUUAAGUUGAAAAUAUUAAGUACUAGAAAAAAAAAUAUUUAUAUGAGUAAAACCUAUUAUAAAUAGGUAUAAGAUACUCCAUAUACCUCACUUAUACCAGUGCUAAUGUUUCAGGUUUGUAGGAUUAGUGGUUAGGGAGAUAAGUGUACCUAACUAUGUGUAUGUUUCCCCAUUUAAAUAGCAUGGGAGCGAGAAAACUGCCUAUCUCCCCUUAAGUUUACUGAAAGUUUAACUAUCCUGGACUAUGUUAUUACUUUUGCAGGGAACAAUGAUAAGAGUUAAAUUUGCAUGGUAUUCUUGCCAAUAUAGGAAAGACUUAGUUUAAAGAUAGGGCUAAAUGUAGUGUCAGUACUGCAUAUGAUAGGUUUGACCUAUGAUAGGUUUUAUUCACAUGUGAUUAUGUUCAUCAAUAUAUGUAACCAUGAUCUUUUCUGGAAUAACUUUAUUACAAAUGUUAAUUUGUUCUACCUAAUACUCUUCAUCAGGAUUAUUCCACCGAAACCAUUCAAUGGUGGUAGGCCUAGCUUAACAAUGUUUUAAUUUAACAUAUUUAAUUAAUUUAAUUUUUUUUAUAUGUUGUUCCCACGUACAACUACGAUAAAUUACUUUUCAAAAUGGCUUACACUCAAUUUGUUUCAAAUUGUCCUUUGCGGGAAGUUACAUAUCUCUUAAUCCACCAAAAAAGGUAACGUGAAACAAAACCCAUGUUUUAGGUCCCAUGUUGGGCUAUCUUUCUAUAAAACAAACGUAGCCUUGCUUACUUUUCAAAGUACCUAAAUUAAGUCUGAAAAUUUUAUAAAAAAGCUAAAAUAAUUAGUAAUAGUUCAGUAUGAAGGGAACAUUUCUAAAAGUUAAUGUUUCUCAACAAUUUCAAUACCUCUAUAGAGUUAGCGUAAGUAGUUUGAACUUCAGACAACUACCCAUUCUAUUUAAUAAAAUGUUAAAAUUAGGAAAAUUUAAAAAACGUGGACAGUUAAGGAUGGCUUAACUCGGCCAACACUGCCUAUACUCGAGGUUGUCACACUAAUGGUGUACGAUAAUACUGAUUUGUACAUUACUUAAGUUUCUUACUGUUAAUCGAUACAAUAAAGCAUGUCUCAGGCUACUUUAAAAAGCAAGAUAGUGACAGUAAACAACUAGUUGUGAUAUAACGGAUGCAGCUACGUCUGUUGGUUCACUAUCUACUCCUGGUACUAGUAGAAGCUAUGCUGAACCUGAUGUGAAUCAGAUGCUGAUGAACGUGGACUUCAUUCCAAGUGAACAACACUAGUAUGAUUUAGGGACUAGGGAUUCCGGUCCAGCACAGCCGUAGUUUAGUAACUACCUUUCCACUGUAUUUGGUACGGUAACCAAGACUGAUUUUUUCAAAAGUCUAUUUUGACCAGUAUCCUUGGCUUAAUACAGUGUAGUAGAAGGCACACCAUAUUGCUAAUUCUCUCGUCUACAGAUCGUCUUAGCCAGUUGAGACUCCGCAGCUAGAACUCCGCUUGACAGACUCGGUUGUGUCAUAGUGACCACAACACAACUUCUUUCAUUUUAAAGUUAAAAAUCAAUCUUUUCGUGCUUGCAAUAGUUGUAGGAAUGGUUACAGAGAUUAGCAAUAUGAUACAUAGGUUUAAACUUGGAAAUAUUUCUUUAUUUCGAUUUGAUGUCUUCUUCUGUCAUUCACCAAAACAUCAAAAGGAUUGAGAAAACUUGAAGAAUUUCGUUAAACGACUUAAAUCUGAAUUUGUAUUUGUACCUCGUAUAAAAUGUCUCAUAACUGAAUAAUUUUUAUGAAUAUUUUUGCAUUAACUAUUCCUUGUUUAUUUUGUCAAUAUUGUCUUCAUCUGUCAUUCUUUUACAGUAUGUAUUUUCACCUUUUUGUAUUGUUCGGUUAAUUAAUCAAUAUUUUAAUUUAACGUUACAGUAAAUGUUUUCCAACCCUUCAUUUUUAUAACCUCCUUGAAAUCACAUUAUCAUCUAAUGUCAAGAUUCUUUUUGUAGUAAAGCUUUUAUUCGUUACCUCAUUAGCAAGGUUUUUCCUCAAUUCAGGUCAAAACUGUAACCCUCAAUAGGAAGUAUUUAUGCAACACUGAACCUUUAUAGUACAAGUUUGGCCUCAGCAGUACGCAGGACCAGUUCUAGACAUUUUUCUAGUGUAAACAAACAAAAUUCUGGUGCCCCUCCAAAAAACUUACAUGGUAGUAAGGAUUAUCUCCGGGUCUCGAUACAUUAAACAAUAUGAGUGCUUAAGAACGUCCGAAACAAGUGAAAUAUGAAUAAACGUAGGCCUUACUGUAAUUAUCAGCAUGUGCUAAACAUCCUUGCCCUUAUUUGUUUAAUAUAAAAUUUAAAAAAUUUAAAAACCAAUUACAUAUAUAAAAAUUCUAAGUUAAUUAAGUGUGAACAAAUCAAUAAAUAAAACGCAAGUUAGUUUUAAAGAAAUUAAACAAUUAAUAUACUCGUAAAAUAAAGACAAACUUAAAAACGGUUACAUUUAACACUGAAAAGAGAUUAUUCUUGACUUCAUUUCAUUGAGAACGUAGUUAGUGUCUAUUUGGUUUAACAAAUCAUUCUCAAUGACCAUUUUUGUUAGUCCACUCAAAUUUUCCUGCCAAAUGGUGGAUCUGAGAUAAGUUUUUAUUAGUUUCAACUUAGAAAAACUUCUUUCACCACUUGCUACUGAAAUAUAGAGCGUCAGAAGGAUGCUUAGAGAAACAAAACCAUUAGGAAUUGUGUCCAUAUAAUCAUUUUUUGUUAUAUACGACAAGGCCGUACUUGUAGAACUUCCAGGUGGCAACAUUGGCGCAAAAAUGUCUAGCUCUUCGAACAAUUCGACUCCAUUUAUGUCACAUUCUUCUACAUCACUCCGAACAUCGUGAAGUUUUUUUCCGGCGUCUUUCAAGGUCUUCUUGUUCUAUGUCUGAAGAUUAUUAGUGUCAUAAAGAAAACUAAAACUCUUUCUGUGGUUCUCCAUGAGUUCAAACCUCUCUUUAAGUGACUUGAUUGUUCUUUUAAGUACCACAAAGAAAAAUUUCACUUUGAAUGAUGCCAGUCCAGCCUGAAUCAGUUCAUCCUCACUCUCAGGAAAAUAUCCUCAUUGUUUCACUUGGACGAACUUCGGUUUCUUUUUCAAAUUCAGCAGAAACACCAAUUUUUUCCGCCAUUUCAGAAGCCUCUAGGAUAUGCCUUCAUCAGAUCUCAUAUUUUCCAAAUAUGUCUGAACACUUUUUACGAGGUCCAUUGAAGUUUGCAAGGUAGAUGAAGCUUUUUGCAAGGUCUUACUCACCAUGUAUGGUUAAGUGGUGUUUCGUUUUCCAUGGUUAGGAUCGAACGAUAAAACGUUACUGUAACGCAUGGCAUGAGACAGUAGAUGACAGAGCGACACAAGACGCAACGGAUGGGGAGGGAUGUCCGUCAUAUGAGGCCAAGUAGAUGACGGAGGGGUGCCCGACGGACGAGUCCAUUUGUUAUUAUUUGUGGUUAUUGUUAUUUGGGAAUAACAAUAAAUCAAGUAGUGGGAGUAUGCGCAAAGGUCCCACCUUACGAUAUACGAUUUUUCCUAACUCCUUACUCCUACAAUUUGGCGAUGUGAAUCAAUUUACAACCUCUAGUCUAGUCUCCUUCUUUAAUACUGAACAUUGGAGAGCGCUUAGGCGCCCCCUUUGGAUUGGCAUCCUAUGCGACCGCGUAUUUACCUCUUAAACCAGCCCUGGAAGUACGUUGUUUCGUACAUUCCUCCUUUAUAGCAAGAGUUCACUCUUUCGUGUGCAUGUUUCCCAGCAUGAGUGACGUAUUUUCAGAGAAACAAUGUCUUGGGCACAUAAAAACCUCCUCCUCCCCGAUACGGUAAACGUUUUUUGUGAUCUGUAUCAUCGACUAGUCACAGUUAUUUAUCUUUUGUCAUAUCUGUGCAGUUUUGAGGUGUUUCUAUACGAAAAUAUAGUGUAUGAGUGAAAUCAGUCAAAAACCUUGAUAGUGCCUUGAACCAUAUCCAUGUAGUAACUCAAAACAAGUAUAAAUUUAGCACGAACCUCAGCAAGAAAAGUCCCUCGAUAACAAGAAAGUUUUCCAAAUCUGAGGAUCUACUGUACCUAGAAUCUAACUUUAUUAUUAGUUGUAUUUCUUCUAUUUCUAGUAUUUGUUUUUUUUGUCAGUAAUGAUGAUUUCAAUCAUUUUGUUACAAUUAAUAACAAGCUAAUUUUCUCCAAAAAUCAAGCAUGGCAUUUCCUUUUUCAUCUUUCAUAUACAUACUGUAAACAUAUCUUAUCAUUAUCUACACCCCUGUUUUUCUGUGAGCCUAAUUACAAAUUAUCCAAAAUAUUACUUUAAAUUCCUACACCAUAUUGUUUUAGUGCCAUUAAGUACCGAGUUUUCUGAAACUCCUUCUUGCCACCAUUGAAAAAGUUUCUCUAAAUUUGUGUAAAAUUAAACAUUUAAACAUUGAUAGAGCUGGAAUUGAAUGAUUUUAUUUCAGGAGCAACUUUAAUAUUUGAUUUUACAUCAUAAUAUAUUUUCCUAACACUUUUUCAAAACUGAGGUAUUAAAUUUACCUAAUAUAAUUUACAUUUUAAAAAUAAAUUUGAUUAUUUUAAUCAAACAGGCUUAGUGUAGAAAUUUUUCUGUUAUUAGUGUUGGCGGUUCUGAUUACUUUCUGUGAUCUUGAUCUGGAUUUGGUUUCUGUUGUUUCUUCUAGUUUGAGUUGUCUAUAAUUGUCUAAUUGCUAUUUCAAUACUUUUUCAAUUAUGAUUUGUAUACUUUAAAUAUUUUAGAGUGAAAUAUACUCUGAAAAUAGCUCACAAUUCCGUGCAAAUGAUAUUUGAAAUUAACAUUAAAACAUUUCUGUGAGAUUACUGUUGAUUUUAAUUAGGCUAAUAUAGUUUUACUGCAGAUUUUAAUUAGGCUAGUAUAGUUUUACUGUUAAUCUUAAUUAGGUUUAUAUAGUUUUAUAUAUUUGAAUUUUGACAUUUAUGGGUGAAACAUAUUUCAUUUAUGAUCAAUGGUUAAUAAAGACUAUUUGACUAUUUCAGUCAAAAAGUGAAUUUACAGAAACCUUAGAUGCUGCACAUGUUAUAAAUAGUGUAGACUGGAAAACCUAGGAACAAAGAUGUUUAAUUUUAAAUUGAAUUUAUUGAAUUUUGUGAGAAACUACUAUUUCAAGGAAAUGACAAGUUUAAAGAAGUUGUUUUUUAAUAAAUUUAUUUAUUUGAAAUUUAGAUUGAUUUAAUUUUGAAUAUAAAACAAACUGAGAACUUUUAUUACUUUAUUCAAACUAUAAUAAACUUACAAUUUGGUUUUAUAAAUUUGGUUCUUUUCAUGUAGUUAAUAUUAAAAAUGGAAUACUGCCAUGUUAUGAUAACAUAUUGCCGUGAUUAGUUAUACAUGGGCAGAACAAAAGGACUACUAAAUGUGACACUUAAAAAUGCAAAUAAAAUACAUGAAAGGGUAAUGAAAAGGUCUCAGCAUUACUAAUUUUAGAAUCGUCACCUUUUCAGGAGUGUGUUCAGGUAGUGUUUUCAUAAUUAAAAUAUUAAAUUUUACAAGGUCUCUUUUCCCUUCCAGAGUGUUAAGAUAAGUGUCAAUCAUAUCAGAACGAACUGAAGAGGAGAAGUGAUUGCGAGAAAACAAAAAGUUCUAGUUUCCAAGGUCGAUGUCACCCCAAACUCUUUCAGAACAAAUUUAUGGCUCAGACCUCCUGAAAGGAAAUAGAUGUUUAGUGACAGUAAACAAGGCACCAACCCUAGUAGUGCAGUAAUUGGCGUUGCAUUUUCCGUUGUCUCUGUAUAUGAUACCAGUAUCUAAGAUGAAGGAAGCACAUACGUUGUCAAAUUAAAGGCGUGUUUUGGACAUAGUAAUAUUACUGGAACUAGUUUCUGCCAAGGAAGAAAAUAACUCAUCGCAUUUAUUCUGUAGAUCGCAUUCGUUCUGGUGCUGAAUUGUGAAACAUUUCAGUUCCUUAUCACAGUAGUAGUUCCCCCUCCCCCCGCCCCCACAAUUCUAAGACCCAUAUUUGUGAUUACUAUGGAGCACACCUCUAAAUGGACGCAUCUAAAGACCUCUCUGACAAAUCUCAAGAAUAUUAACCUUUAGGAAACAUUCAGAUACUUGGAUAUAAUUGUAGUUACUUGCCUUUGUCUUUGGCUUCGUCACAGUAUUUUUUGAUACACCAGAUUCUUCAACACAAACAAUCGAUCUUGUCGGUGACACUGGGCUUAAGUCUAGUUAUGAACUGAGUGUUUUUUUUUUACUGAUAUUGUGUUUGUUUCUGUCCCACUACUAAUUACAACAGCGGAGACGCGUUGUCUUUUCAGUUAAUGCUCUUCAAGCUGAUCUUGGUGGUUCUGGCUCUUCCUAAUCACAGUAAGCCAUAAAGGAAGUUCACAACUCUAGGUUCUAAAGUUCAACCGAUAUCCAUAGAUAUUUGGAUUUCAGCUGUACCAUAAACACUGCAUACAGUUUCUGAAGCAUUGAUAACAACAGCUUUCAUUCCAGCAAUGUCUUUCAAAGGAGCCUUUUAAGUCUGCACUUUUAGGACUUGAAUAAUCAGAAAAAAACAGCUUGGGAGAGAAUGACAAACUGUUUCAGUUCAUUAAACAAGGAUUCCAGGUUGGAGUUUACGAGUCUUGCUAUGUCAGAUCUCAUUUUCUUAAACUGCUUAUUAAAGUACUUGUGACAGUCAUUCCUUCGCUGACCCCUUCUCACUAGUAAAACGCCUUUGACACCAUGAGGAGUUUUAAUCGAGAUUUAAAUCGUUUAGAAUCACUGAGAUGUUUAAUUCCUUCAGGCAGCUUGUUUAUCACUUUCACACCAACUUGGGACAGCAAGUGUUCAAAUGCCAUCGUUCUAUGUUGUACAAUCUGAAAGUUGUCCCUGGCCUCUUGUCUCGUAUUGGUGGACAUCACUGCCUUGGACCAACUCGCAUUUGAGUUGACAGUAUAGAACAACGUCGGAAAUGUAGAGACAUGGUAAAGUUAACAAUCCAAGCUCUCUGAAGGCAUCUUUGCACGACUCUCUGAAAUUAAAUUUGUGAAUAAUUCUGACAGCUUUCUUUUGAGCUCUAAAUACUCUUUCGAGUUUGUUAGAACUUACAGAAAAGCCACAAGGUUUCAUCCAAAAUAGAAACCGAUUUCAGGCUCAUAAUUUCUAGUACUUUUGAUACAAGAUUGAUUUAUUGGUAUUUGUUUCCAGGAAAAGAGAUAUCAAUUGCUCAUCAAAAGAAGACAUCGCUGGGCUCCGAUCAGGAGAUACUUCAGAAGUCUCUUCUGGUGAACAGUGCUCAUCGAAUACUGCAAAGAUUGAUACAGGUGCAACAUCCAGUGAACCAUGCUCGUCCGAUGCUACACAGGACUCCAAAAGAGUUUUGGGUGAAGUCCUGUGGAUGGUCAAUAAGAAGGUUGCAAUGCCAAUGCCAGAGAGACUUAAGACGGACUUGAAAAAAAAAUACUCAUGAAAGGCCCAAGUGUAUACUUGGGCGAAGAAAGCACAGAUUAGAGAACAAAAGGGGGGUUUUCAAAGUAAUUCCCCUUGAAAUUCCAAAACCAAAUAACACUCAAAUUAAGCAAGAACCACUGCCUGAUGACAGACCCACAGGUCUCCUUUAUAAACGCAAGAUAACUUACCAAGGCCAGGAUCUCAGACGACUAAUCCAAAACUUUCCACAC